UUUAAGCCUGAUACUUCAUUCAUUCGGUCAAACUCUGAGCUUUCUCAAGUCUCGAGCAGUUCACCCCUUCUCCAUCACCCCUCAUCAAAUCUAGGAACUAAUGUAGCGUUUGGGUACUCGAAUCCAAAAACCCCAACCACAUUUUGUUUCUCUUUACUCUCUAGGUCACUCGUUCGUCCAACCCUAGAAUCGUAUAAAACUAGAGCAGUUGCAGAAGCCAUGGACCCAAAAGCUGUGAAAUCGGACCUAGUCCUCAUCCUCGACUACGGCUCCCAAUACACCCACCUCAUCCGAUCCCUCUCCGUCUUCUACCUCACCAGCCCCCUCAAGCCCAUCACCGACCUUAAUCCUCCCCGAGAGCCCCACUCCAUCCACACCGAGGUUCACCUUCAGCCAUCAUUUCCUUUGACUUUCCGUCGCAGUGUGCAGUUCUCAAAUUGCCGAAGUUAUGACAGCCAUGGGAGAUUGGAGCCAGCCAUGUCUGACCAGGAGCACCACAUGGAGAGCCAUCCACAGCAGCCUAGCCAGAGCCCAUCCAUGGAGAGAAAAAAAUCAUGUGGUUUUCGUUAAGGAGAUGAUCCAGGGACCGAUUCUCCUUCAAUGAGCUCAGGGAACUUAUGUUGAAGGAAUCAAAGAGGAAGUUGUGCAGUCUCUUGCUCAUGCUCUUUGCUUGAUAGCAACCGUAGAAGAGAUCAGUUGUGGACAAGAAUCUUGGUCCUUUGGUCAAGACUGUCAUGACUCGGUGUAUUCAAUAUACAAGAUUGUGCCAGCAAUAACUGAGCUUCUGGUUGCUCAGUUUAUGUGGAUGGAUUAUGAUAACCCCUCGAAGACUAUAUAUCUGUACAUAAAUUCAUUUGGAACACAGUGAGACAGAAAAGCAAGCAACAUGUACACACAUUGAUAUUGAUAAAGGUUCGGGUCGAGUGGGCACAUUAUGUUGCCCAAUUUCAAGAAAGCUAGUGCCUAACUCUUUCAUAUAUAUCUGCUUUUGGACAUGCAUCACCUAUAUAACCCAGAUUAGAAAGCUAUAGGGACUAGUUUUUUGCGUUACAUGCUCGAUACUGUGAUGUUUGUGGGUUGUCUUUAUCGAUCAUGUCUUUUGUUUCAUGGAUGGGUUGUAUUGAACUGAUGCAUAGCAGGUUGUGUUAUAUAUACUGAAUGAUGAAAUGACAUUUUCUGGGUUUCCAGAUUACCUAAUGAACAGUACAUAAUGAUUUUUCAGAUUACCAAA